UUUUUUUUUUUUUUUUGCAUUCUUUAGGCCUAUCAGUAAAUCAAGCAAUAUGCGAGAAUGUGUAAGUAACUAAUUUAAAGCUGUGGUUUGUAUGUUAGUUUAAAGAAAAGAAGUCCAUGCAAGUAUGCAAAGCCUUAACAAGCCGUUUUAUUUAUUUUUUAUUUUUUUACUCCUGCUAUGGACCUCUUUUUAAGCAGAGUCUUGAAUAAAAUAAAGUUGAGUUGAUAGGGCGCCGAUUUUAAAUUUAUAAAAAGCAAGCAAGUAAGCUUGCCAUGAUACAACGGGAACGUUUAUAAAAACAAUUAGGUUUAAAACCAAGUAUUUGCAGAGUUAAAAAAAGGAAAAGCUAUAUUAAGUUUUGUGAAGGUUUGUUAAGUUUUAAAGUGUUAAGAGUUUUUUUUUUUAAGAAAGCUAAAGUAGAAUAAGUACACGCGUUAGUCACUUUUCCUGCGACAAGGUUAUGAUUGCCUAUACAGACAUCAGACUAUUUGUUAAACAAAACUCUAUGUUUAUGUAUCAAUCCCUAUCCAAAUAAAUAAUACUUAUUAUCAUAAGUUAUCAAAAUAAUAGGUCAAGCCAUUAACAAAGCGAACGUUGUGGGACAACGGUCUCUUUGAAUUGCUCAAAAAUAACUGCAAAAAGCGGGAAACGUUGGUGGGAGUGUAGGGUGCAGAGUUACAAAUUAACCCCAUCCACAGGGGAUAAAUUAGGCCAGCCAAUCCCACCAAGACAGCAUUAUAACUUAAUUCCAUUGAGAAGCCAUGAUCUAUGGACAGGAAACACUCGAAGAACUGGGCAGCCUAUCAGGUAUGUAAUUUGCUAGGCCUAUAGUUUAAUUUUGCAUUUAUAACUACAUGUAUAAGAAAAUUAUUAAGGCUCGACGUCUUGAUUUAUUUCUCAGAUUUAGAAGAGUUGCUGUUCGCGACAGACGCACCCGAUGCGACGCUUCACGUGUUUGACCCAUCAAAAUUUAAUCUUGCAUGCAGCCAGGAAGGGUCUAUUCGUCAGAGUACGUUUGUCAGUUCUGUGUGUGUGUGUGUACUUUUAAAAUGUUUAUUUAUUUAUUUAUCCGCUUUUAGCCUACAAUCAGACAGAAUCGACACCCGUAGUCGCGGAUUUGGAACAGCCAACGCAAUUGGUAGAAGCACAGGUUCACGCAGCAGUGGACACCGAAAUAUACAACUUUCUACAGAACCCUGAAAGUCAACCAGAAGUGGUCACUGAGGCCCCGACGUCUUCAACGGAUACCGUUUCGGUACACUUUCCAAGUCUGAAGAAAAAACGCGAGAAUAGCAUUUCAGACUUCAACACGGAUCUUCUAGACGUGGAACUGGAUCGAGAAGCGCUGCUUCAACCUUCCGAGGAGGCACCGAGCCCCGGAGUCGCAACACCAUCAGAGGGCGCAACGCCAGGAGCAAUACCCCCGACAAACGUG